GGGUUGUGAGGUUAAGCGACUAAGCGUACACGGUGGAUGCCCUGGCAGUCAGAGGCGAUGAAGGACGUGCUAAUCUGCGAUAAGCGUCGGUAAGGUGAUAUGAACCGUUAUAACCGGCGAUUUCCGAAUGGGGAAACCCAGUGUGUUUCGACACACUAUCAUUAACUGAAUCCAUAGGUUAAUGAGGCGAACCGGGGGAACUGAAACAUCUAAGUACCCCGAGGAAAAGAAAUCAACCGAGAUUCCCCCAGUAGCGGCGAGCGAACGGGGAGCAGCCCAGAGCCUGAAUCAGUGUGUGUGUUAGUGGAAGCGUCUGGAAAGGCGCGCGAUACAGGGUGACAGCCCCGUACACAAAAAUGCACAUACUGUGAGCUCGAUGAGUAGGGCGGGACACGUGGUAUCCUGUCUGAAUAUGGGGGGACCAUCCUCCAAGGCUAAAUACUCCUGACUGACCGAUAGUGAACCAGUACCGUGAGGGAAAGGCGAAAAGAACCCCGGCGAGGGGAGUGAAAAAGAACCUGAAACCGUGUACGUACAAGCAGUGGGAGCCUCUUUUAUGG
rnacentral:rRNA from 1 species